GACGAACGCUGGCGGCGUGCUUAACACAUGCAAGUCGAACGGUAAGGCCCUUCGGGGUACACGAGUGGCGAACGGGUGAGUAACACGUGGGUGAUCUGCCCUGCACUUCGGGAUAAGCCUGGGAAACUGGGUCUAAUACAGGAUAGUACUCCUGCCUGCAUGGGUGGGGGUGGAAAGCUUUUGCGGUGUGGGAUGGGCCCGCGGCCUAUCAGGUUGGUGGUGGGGUGAUGGCCUACCAAGGCGACGGCGGGUAGCCGGCCUGAGGGGGUGACCGGCCACACUGGGACUGAGAUACGGCCCAGACUCCUACGGGAGGCAUCAGUGGGGAAUAUUGCACAAUGGGCGCAAGCCUGAUGCAGCGACGCCGCGUGAGGGAUGACGGCCUUCGGGUUGUAAACCUCUUUCAGCACAGACGAAGCGCAAGUGACGGUAUGUGCAGAAGAAGGACCGGCCAACUACGUGCCAGCCGCCGCUGUAA
rnacentral:rRNA from 1 species